CUUAGUGAAGAUAUUCCUUGAAGAUAACGUAACCCUCAGUUUACCUGAACAGUUCAGACAAUCAGUGCUGAGAGAACUCUUCCAAAAAGCUCAGCAAGGGAAUGAUGCUCUGGAUGAAGUUUGUUUCAAAGUCUGUGUGUGCAACACGAUCUGUGAUGUAUUACAAGGUCGAAUAAUUGAUAUUCAGUUUUGUCAACUGUUCCUGAAACCCACCAAAGAGAAAAUAGACUUCCUUCUGGAGGUAAAACGUUAAUCUAAAAUUAGUUGUGAAAAUGGUAUUUAGUGAGAGAUUUCUUUCCCUGCAUAA